UCAGCGGAGAAGGCGAGCGAACAUUUGCACCUGGUUCAAUGCAGACCCUUGUUCCCCGGGUCGGAAAGGAUGGAGCGAGGGUCGCCUCUUUAUCGUUGUCCAGAAUCAGAGGACAGUUCUGAGGCUCAGGAACAGGAGAAACAGUUUCAGAUCAGGUGGUGUGGAGUAAAUCACAUGGGUCACCUGCUCAAAAGACAUCUGCAGGAAUUUGAAGACAGGAACAAGCGUUCUGUUUUGCCCUUGGAGAGCUGCUGACAACAAACAGAGUGGAGCUGAGAAUCAGUGCCAUAAAACAGUAGGAUGCUAAACAAACCACACUUUCUCACCCCGGGCCCACUCCCUGGAUUCUGCUGCUUCUUAGACAAGAUUUCAUCCUUGGCGACGGAUCUAGACCUCAGCCUCCAAGAUCAGUUAAAGAAAUAAACAAGCCAGAGACAACAGCCAAAACAGCAACACAGAAACCAGGCACGGAGACGAAGCCACGCCUCUAAGGCAUCGGGCCAAUCAGAAGUCUGUUGCUGGGGCCCAGUGUUUGGCCGCCUGAAGUUCCCAUGGAGACGGAAGAACGUUACACACUAAACACUCGCGACGUUGACGUCUAUGCGUUAUAUCCUUGGAGACGACAGAGUAAACGUCAUUCCCCUCGUCUCCCCGCCCUACCUAAACGCCAGCCGCUUAAGGAGCAACGCUGGCGUCGCCGUCACAUGCUGCACGCGGGGCGGGAGGCCCAGUAGGCGGGGCCUGUUGCUAUGACUGCAACUGCGGCUGUUGAUAUUUGGGGCUGCAAUUAGAAAGUGCUGAGGCGGCAGUGGAGCCUGAAACGAUUCAGGAACGGCGGCUCCCGCCCCCGGGCCGGAGAGGUUUCCCCAGCCCUUGGAAAGCCAGGACACCCCCUAGGCUGUCCCAGCACGCCUGAGCCUCGGUCCGGUGCCAAGAUCUCUCUGUGCUCCUCGGGACUGCAGACUGAGAGCCAAACCUAGACCACUCCCUCCACCCUCAGUUGGCUGGCAUGGUCAGGGUGACCUCCCUAACCGCGUCUCCUCUAGACAGACCACAGAACAACCACUGACCAAACUACCUUGCCCAUGAGACGGAACGAAGCCCAGCUUAGAAAACUCCCUCUGUUAGAGUUAACCUCAGAAUCGAGGAGAAUCAGAAUUUGGCCCUUUUUUUUUUUCUUUAAAAGCAACAGAACUUAAGACAUUUUGUUCCUUAGAGUUUCCUGAAGGCUUGAGGGAGGGGUUCCUAACAACCUCACUCAAGAGCAUUGCCUCUCAAAGGAAGGGAAAAUUCAGAAAUCCCGGAGGACUGUGAUUCCCAAAAAUGGGAAGGCCUGAAAAACCUAGGUCAAUAGAAAGGCUGGUCUGCAUAUUGCUUAAUUCCGCUUAGACUACACAAGCCAGCCCAGUUUGAGAAAUCUCUGUGAGCCAGCCUCCUUUCUGUUCUCACAGCUUUGGAAACAGUUACAGUGAGACUGAAACAACAGCUUGUAAACAAAACUAGACCAAGGCGCAGAAAGGUAGAAAGAGUUGAAAUGUCCACUUACAGGCUGUCACUCUGAAUGAGUUUAAAUGAGACACCAUUGAGGGGCCCAGAGCUUUGAAUUUUCUCCAGAAAUCGCAGUCUGAAUUUAAAUCGUCUUGGAGGGGAAGGGCAGAGAGGAUAUUAUUUGCUUGAAUUAAAAAAAAAAAAAAACAGCCAGUGGGGCAAGUAUCCAUAGAAUGUGUUUCAGAGGAUGGAGACAUAAAGGAAUUCCUGAAAAUGAAUGGCAUUUGGGGUCGGCGCCCUCCAUUCCUCUACCAACACUUGUCCAACCCAAUUUUCCAUCUUGACAGACGCACCUCAGGUUCCUUGUUACACCCCAGUAGCCCUCGCUGAGCGCCCACCCAUGCCCACACCGCAGCAUCUGCCUGCAGAGUCUCCCCAUUCCCAUCCAGCGUUUCCCUGCUCCAUCCUCUGACCCACCCAUUACUCACUUCCCGGACUGCCUUCUCUAAACAGCUCUCCCUCUGCAGCUUCCCACUCCCUUCCCACUGCAGCCCAGGGACACUCCUCAAUCCUUGCCCCAUCUACUCAUCCCUGUCAUAAAGGUUUCCCAGUCUGUUCAUUAGUAGAAGAGAGGAGGCUUUUGGAAAUGCAGAGGGAGAACACUGAGUGGAACAAAGUCAAAUGCAACACUUAAAAUCCCCAACAGUAGUUGUGAUACGUACCACAUAUCCAAUCAUAAUGCAGAUUCUGCAUAUUAGAGGACUAUACAGAAAGCAAUCAUGUACUAAUUCUACCAUUUUCAGGAAACCAAUAACAGUUGCUCCUUUUUUUUUUUUUUUUUUUUCUGUCAACUAAUGGUCCAGCUGGAACUCUUUGAGAGUGUUGGCUACCACCUACGCUCCCAAAGUUCACCUGGCAUAUAAUGCAGGGAGAAAAUAAAACCUCAGUUCAGGUUAAGGGAAAAGCCUGCCUUGCGGGGUAGAUUAGAUUGUAUCAGUUUUGGGCAUGACAAUAAAUGGUUUAUAUUUUGUUUCAGA